rnacentral:rRNA from 1 species
UACGGGGGGGGCAGGCGUUGUUCGGAAUUACUGGGCGUAAAGGGCUCGUAGGCGGCCAACUAAGUCAGACGUGAAAUCCCCCGGCUUAACCAGGGAACUGCGUCUGAUACUGGAUGGCUUGAGUUUGGGAGAGGGAUGCGGAAUUCCAGGUGUAGCGGUGAAAUGCGUAGAUAUCUGGAGGAACACCGGUGGCGAAGGCGACUACCUGGCCUGUUCUUGACGCUGAGGCGCGAAAGCGUGGGGAGCAAACAGG